AUGCACGCUGGCGGCGUGCUUAACCCCUGCAAGUCGCACGCUGAAGCCCAGCUUGCUGGGUGGAUUAGUGGCGAACGGGUGAGUAACACGUGAGUAACCUGCCCUUAACCCUGGGAUAAGCCUGGGAAACUGGGUCUAAUACCGGAUAGGAGCGCCUACCGCAUGGUGGGUGUUGGAAAGAUUUAUCGGUUUUGGAUGGACUCGCGGCCUAUCAGCUUGUUGGUGAGGUAAUGGCUCACCAAGGCGACGACGGGUAGCCGGCCUGAGAGGGUGACCGGCCACACUGGGACUGAGACACGGCCCAGACUCCUACGGGAGGCAGCAGUGGGGAAUAUUGCACAAUGGGCGAAAGCCUGAUGCAGCGACGCCGCGUGAGGGAUGACGGCCUUCGGGUUGUAAACCUCUUUCAGUAGGGAAGAAGCGAAAGUGACGGUACCUGCAGAAGAAGCACCGGCUAACUACGUG
rnacentral:rRNA from 1 species